rnacentral:rRNA from 1 species
CGGGUGAGUAAUGCGUGACCAACCUGCCCCAUGCUCCAGAAUAGCUCUUGGAAACGGGUGGUAAUGCUGGAUGCUCCAACUUGACGCAUGUCUUGUUGGGAAAGUGUUUAGUGGCAUGCGAUGGGGUCGCGUCCUAUCAGCUUGUAGGCGGGGUAAUGGCCCACCUAGGCUUCGACGGGUAGCCGGCCUGAGAGGGCGGACGGCCACAUUGGGACUGAGAUACGGCCCAGACUCCUACGGGAGGCAGCAGAG